UCUCACUCUCUCUCUCUCUCGCUCUUUCUGUCUCUCCCAAUAAAAACCUCUUACACGUGGAACUGUUUGGGCCUAGUGUGCUAUGUCCAGACUCAAGCCGAUAUUCUAACACAUCAACACAUUUCCUCCAACAAGGCCAUACCUCCUAAUACUGGCAUGAACCAUUUUCAUUCAAAACACCAGAGGGGCUACAUAAACAGUGAUAUAUCCUUACGUUUAACAGAAUACCAUUUUUAGAAUAAUAAAUGGGGCAGUGGGCUAUUAACAACCCCAUUGAUUUUUAAAAAAUUAUUUAGAGUUCUUCCCACUCUCCCAGAGGAUGUGAGUUCAGUUCCCAGCACCUAUCCAAGGCAGCUCACAACUUGUCUGUACCUCCAGCUCUAGGAGAUCCAGUGCCCUCUCUGGCCUCCAAGGACACAUGUACAAACACUCAUAUACCUAAUACAUAUAUUAAAAUAAAAAUAAAUUGAUGAACAUUUGUAUAUGUACGUGGGUAUUUUUCAUGGGGUGUGUGUAAGUCAGAGGACCAUGCCCAGAAGUUGGUCGUCUCCACCUUUUAGGCUCUGGGAAUGAUGCUCAGGUCAUUAGGCUUGGAGGCAACAGCCUUUACCUGCUGAGUCUUGUUAUUGCUGAAGGAUUGUAAUUUUAAAGCAUUUUUGUUGUUGUUGUUGUUGAGACAGUAUCUCUGUAGUCCAGGCUAGCCUCAAACUGGUGGAAAUCCUUCUGCCUCAGCAUCCAGAGCAUUUGGAUUACAAGCAUGAGCUUGAAACAUCCUGUAGUUGCCACGCAUGCCACUGAUAGAGACACAGUUAAAGCUGAGUGGCAAAUUGUCUUCCCUCAAAACUUCUGGAGCAUCUCCAGCUGUGCAAACCUUUCUGUGGAGACACAUUGGGUCCAAGUCUGGGGAAGCCCCAAGCCAAGACACCUCACCCUUCUGACUAUCCUAGUUCUAGAAAAGGCAUUGUAACAGCACAUGUGGAGUUCCUUGUACUUGCAUAGAAGUCUAUGCAAUGUGUGUACACCUAUCCCUUACAAAGUCCUGCAAAUGAAAUAACCCAGAAUGUUGCCUGCUACUUAAGUACAACCCCCACAAGCAACCCCCACAAGCUGACCUUUAAGAUUCAGGCUUUACUUGCUAGAUCAAGUCGGGAAGAGUCACUCCUCAAGGUCAGGUGGAAGCCUGCUUGGAAUUAAUUUUAGGCAGAUAGUUCUCAGUGUGCCUCCCUGAGAGUGGCACAUCCUUUCUCCAAAGUACGUACGUUCUGAUCACAGCAUUCCUGUGUGGCUUACUCCUAGCCUCCAGUGUUUUCAUAUGGCUCAUUGUCUCCAAUCUGCAUGUCUAGCUUUCUGUCAGCCCCCUUCCUGUCCCUGUCCCCACAGAUGCUGAGAAUCCAGGAUGUGCCUCUCUGUCACUCAGCUACCAGUUAUUUCUCCUUUUUCCUUGAGCUCCGACGUGGACCACCACGCCUAUUCCUCCUCUGCCCUGGCCAGUUUUCCUGGAAGCAAGACUCCUUGUUAAGUUAUGCAAUCACCAGUCCCCAGAUUAUCCCAGUGAGGUUCCAGCUGCCUGGACAACAUGCCCCUCCCCAAUCAGAUGGAUCAAGGCUGGUCCAGAGAUCAGAGAAAAGCUGAAUGACAUAGGUACUGCAUAUUUUUUGGACUUGAACUCCUGAACUUCCUGCCUCAGACUCUCAAGUGCUGUGAUUACAGAUGUGGACAAUAUCCUGUUUAUUAAAGAUGUGCACAACAUCCUGUUUAUUACA